GUAUUUUUUACACACAAUUUAAAUAUUCCUAACAACAAUUCUCCAAUCUCCACUAAUAUAUAUAGUACAUAGCCUAGGGUUAGGGUACUAUCAAUAUAUACAAAAAUUAUAUUUAAUAUACAUAUAUAUGAUCAUUAUGAUUCUCUUUCAACAUCCAUCCUUUGCCCUACGUCUUGGCAGUAUGAUGAGUCCGCCAUUAAAUUGGAUGUUUGGCGUUGGUGAUUCUACUUCUAAAAUAGCGCCGCCACAGUCGCCGCCACCACCAGAAAUAGCUUCUGCUCCACACUUCAUACUACCAAGUGAUGGCUUCUAAUUUAAAUAUAUAUGUCUAAAUUAAAGAGUUAUGAAUAAAUUAUCUUCAAAUAUAUAUGUCUUAACUAAUAACUAAUAUGUUAUGAAUUAAUUAAUUAAUGUACGUGUGAAUCAAUCUGCAUAAUGCAGAAGAUAAAUAAAUAUAUAUUUUGUAGCAAUUUCUUUUAUUUAUGCAGAUGCAACUUCUCAUACUUAACUUGUAAAGUAAUCAUAUAUACUUUUUGUUGAUUAAUGUUAUGAUAGGUCAAUAUGUAGUUUGUGUCUGGCUGAUCAUAUUUACUACUCAUUUUUGGCAGAUUUUGAGUGUGUUUGGAAAUAUAACUGAAAAUUUGCUUUUUACUUUUGAAAAUUAAAAAAAGUAUUCUUUUAACA